rnacentral:rRNA from 1 species
UACAGAGGUCCCAAGCGUUGUUCGGAUUCACUGGGCGUAAAGGGUGCGUAGGUGGCCAGGUAAGUUUGGUGUGAAAGCUCGGAGCUUAACUCCGAAAUGGCAUUGAAUACUAUCUGGCUGGAGGGUCGGAGGGGAGACUGGAAUUCUCGGUGUAGCAGUGAAAUGCGUAGAUAUCGAGAGGAACACCAGUGGCGAAGGCGAGUCUCUGGACGACACCUGACACUGAGGCACGGAAAAGCUAGGGGAGCAAACCAGG